rnacentral:rRNA from 1 species
GACUACUAGGGUAUCUAAUCCGUUUCGCUCCCCACGCUUUCGAGCCUUAGUGUCAGACAAGGACCAGCGAAUCGCCUUCGCCACUGAUGUUCCUCCCAAUAUCAACGCAUUUCACCGCUCCACUGGGAAUUCCAUUCGCCCAUUCCUGUCUCAAUUCCUGUAGUUUCCAAAGCUUCUCCACGGUUGAGCCGUGGUAUUUAACUAAAGACUUACAAGAACACCUACGCUUCUCUAUACGCCCAAUAAAUCCGGAUAACGUUUGCACCCUACGCAUCACCGAUGCUUCUGGCACGUAGUUAGCAGGUGCUUAUUCAUGAGGUACCGUCAUCUAUUCUUCCCUCAUAAAAGGAGUUUACAAUCCGAAGACCUUCCUCCUCCACACUGUGUCGCUGCGUCAGGGUUGCCCCCAUUGCGCAAGAUUCCUCACUGCAGCCCCCCGUAGG